ensembl:rRNA 5S_rRNA 5S ribosomal RNA
AUCUAUGUCCUUACCACCCUGAAUCCACCCAAUCUUAUUUGAUUUCAGAAGCUAAGAAGGGUCAGUCCCAGUUAGUAUUUGAAUGAGAGCCAGCCUGGGAAUAGUGGGUGCUGUAGGCU